CCGGUGCUUCCUGUGUAUCUGAUCACAGCGGCCGAUAGAGUUACAUGGUUACGUGUUUCUUGUCAUGGCGUCGCUAAAGGAGCUCGUUGAUGCAUUAGUAUGUGAUUAUCUGAUUAAACAGGACCCUCAUCUUGGAAAGAUAUUUAAGAAGAAGACAUUGGCGAGGCCAUUAAAGAAAGGUUCACCAAGUAUAUUUGAGGUCGUCAAAUGGUAUGAAAAGACGAGACCAAGAGAAAAGUCGUCGGAUUCUGGUUCAGACGCUGAUGAAGACGUCCUUGUUGAUGGAUCAGCAGCAGAGGCAGAUCCUGAAGCAUCACAGUCAAGCUCAGAAGAUGGGUCAGAUAAUGACGAUGCAGAAGAAGUACCAGAGAAAGAAGAGGGUUCGGACAGUGAUGCUUCAGAUGCUUCUGAUGUGACUGAUGAGGACGAAGGUGGCUCCUCUUUGUCUGAAGAGUUAGAAGCAGAGAAACCAGCUGCUCAAAAGAGAAAGAAUGAGUACCAUGAAGAGGAAGAAAAGGAUGUUAAAAGCAAAAAGAAAAAGAGAGCUUCGGAGCCAUCUGCAGACUCUGCAAAUGGGACAGAACAGGAUGAAGAAGGAGGAGGCAAAAAGGGAAAGAACUUCUGGGAGGAUAGGAGAGGUUCCUCUAGCGGUAGAGAUGAUAGAGGCGGAUUCAGAGGUCGGGGUGGCUUCCGUGGAGGCCGGGGAGGCUUCCGUGGUGGUCGGGGAGGCUUCCGCGGUGGCCACGGGGGUUUCCGUGGUGGCUUCCGAGGGGGCUUCAGGCAUAGUGAUGGUGGGGAUGGCUUUAGAGGGAGAAGGGGGGGAGGUUUCAGGGGUAGUGGUGGUCGAGGAGACAGGGGAGGAUUUAGGAAAAGUUUUGACGGCACAGCUGGCCAGAGAGAUUUUAGAGGUAAAGAGAUUGGAGGAUUCCAGAAGGAGGAGUCUCAGUAGCAGUGAAGAGAAGAGAAGUUGACAUUUUAAAGUUUGCCCAUUCUGCAGUGGUGAAGGAGUCCAUUUUGGAGGUGAUGGCACCGGUGAGACAGUGUCUGCUACCAAGUGUGAGGUGCUUGAGGGUCAUAGGAAGAACAUGUUGGCCAAGUUCAUGGGAGAGAAAACGUUUUUGCCACAAGAAACAAGAAGUAAAUGUGACUGCUAUAGUGGAGAUUUCAUGAAGUCAAUAAAACUAAAAUCUCAUU